UCUUUGUUGGCUGUGGGAUCUUCUGGAAACAAAGCACAGAGCAAGGCUGAAGGAGCAAGACCUCCACAGUGCAGCUAAACAGCCAAAUGAGUCUCCCGCAAGUCAGGAAAACUGGAUAAAAAGAGGCCUAAAUGUGAGCAAGAGCUAUCAUGUUUGGCUUCAAGUAUUGUCUACUAUGUGCCGAGGAUAUAGAGGAACAAAACAGACCCGUCUCAUUCUCGUGGUGGAGUUGGGAUGAUGGAGCUAAUACAAUGACCCCUACCUUCAAAAACUCAGUGCUGCUCCCCUGGAUAGAGAUCCGCUACAUCCUACCUUCUCUGUGACGACUUUGAAAAGUGUCCAUGAAUUCUUUGACACUCUUUUCAAAAGGUGGAGCCUAAUUUCCCGUCCCUUAAGUGUGGACUGAUGAUUUGCUUCUAAAGAACAGAAUAAGGUGGAAUGGAUGGUGAGGAAAAUGAGGCAGAGAAUGAAACAUUUCCAUCUGGAUGACCAAACCGUCAGCUCCUAAAGGGCCGCAGAGGCUGAGGGCGCUGCUGGCAGCCGGCCCUCUGUGGACAUUUGCUGAAUAAACAGAAGAUAUGUGCACCAGUGUUCGCUCCUUUGGGUGAUACCAUCCCAUUUUUAUUUUCUGGAUUUCCUUCCUGAUGGGUCCAUUGUUCCUCAUUUUCCUCUAGCAUUAAAUUCCUUUAUCUUUUCAUUCCCACACAGUCGCUGCCUGUGGUUGAAAAUUGAGUCACCUCUCAGGCCCCAGUGACUUUCCUGGAGAAGUCCAGGAAGCAGGCCUGCUGCAAGAUCCGGGCAAAUUCCUGGAAUCCAUUCCCCGAGGUCAGCAUAUGAGCUCAAACCUGGGACUGACCGGGGCAGACAUAAGAAGGAACACUUCCCCCACACCCCACGAGGAUUUGCACUCGAGUGUUCCAAACCAUCCUGGGGCGAACGGGACACAGUGGGGAACAACUGGUCAUAUCUUUAUGCCAGCGUUUGCCAGAGCCUGCGCCCAGAGAACCAGCUCCACAGAUCUAUGCCAAAAGGCUCUAUGCCAAUUAAGUUUGUGAAGCAUCAUAUAUUAUAUUCUCUGGGGAUUGGCCGGGCUUGGGGGCUCAUGCCUGUAA
rnacentral:lncRNA from 1 species